rnacentral:rRNA from 1 species
UACGUAGGGUGCGAGCGUUGUCCGGAAUUACUGGGCGUAAAGAGCUCGUAGGUGGUUUGUCGCGUCGUCUGUGAAAUUCCGGGGCUUAACUCCGGGCGUGCAGGCGAUACGGGCAAACUGGAGUGCUGUAGGGGAGGGUGGAAUUCCUGGUGUAGCGGUGGAAUGCGCAGAUAUCAGGAGGAACACCGAUGGUGAAGGCAGGCCUCUGGGCAGUUACUGACACUGAGGAGCGAAAGCAUGGGUAGCGAACAGG